rnacentral:rRNA from 1 species
GUGGGGAAUAUUGGACAAUGGGCGAAAGCCUGAUCCAGCCAUGCCGCGUGUGUGAAGAAGGUCUUCGGAUUGUAAAGCACUUUAAGUUGGGAGGAAGGGCAGUAAGUUAAUACCUUGCUGUUUUGACGUUACCGACAGAAUAAGCACCGGCUAACUUCGUGCCAGCAGCCGCGGUAAUACGAAGGGUGCAAGCGUUAAUCGGAAUUACUGGGCGUCAAGCGCGCGUAGGUGGUUUUGUAAGUUGGAGGUGAAAUCCCCGGGCUCAACCUGGGAACUGCCUCCAAAACUGCAUGACUAGAGUACGGUAGAGGGUAGUGGAAUUUCCUGUGUAGCGGUGAAAUGCGUAGAUAUAGGAAGGAACACCAGUGGCGAAGGCGACUACCUGGACUGAUACUGACACUGAGGUGCGAAAGCGUGGGGAGCAAACAGGAUUAGAAACCCUGGUAGUCC